CUCGGUUCAAAACUGAACCGAAAAUACAAGACUUGCUUUAAUUGUUUUCCUUCAAUUUCUUUCUGUAUCAUUCACUAUAAUGGAACUCAUGUUAUUUACACUGUGCUAGAUCAAUACAUAUAAACCCUGACAGAAAACAAUGAAAGCAAGUCAUGCAUUUUCGGUUCAGUUUUGAACCGAG
rnacentral:miRNA from 1 species